rnacentral:rRNA from 1 species
UACGUAGGGGGCUAGCGUUGUCCGGAAUCAUUGGGCGUAAAGAGCGUGUAGGCGGCUCGGUAAGUCCGCUGUGAAAGUCGGGGGCUCAACCCUCGAAUGCCGGUGGAUACUGUCGAGCUAGAGUGCGGAAGAGGCGAGUGGAAUUCCUGGUGUAGCGGUGAAAUGCGCAGAUAUCAGGAGGAACACCGAUUGCGAAGGCAGCUCGCUGGGACGUUACUGACGCUGAGGCGCGACAGCGUGGGGAGCAAACAGG